rnacentral:rRNA from 1 species
UACGUAGGGGGCAAGCGUUGUCCGGAUUUAUUGGGCUUAAAGGGUGCGUAGGCGGUCUAUUAAGUCAGUGCUGAAAUAUCCCGGCUCAACCGGGAGGGUGGCAUUGAUACUGAUGGACUUGAGUAAAGUUGAGGUAGGCGGAAUUGACGGUGUAGCGGUGAAAUGCGUAGAUAUCGUGAAGAACACCUAUAGCGAAGGCAGCUUACUAAGCUUUAACUGACGCUGAGGCACGAAAGUGUGGGGAUCAAACAGG